rnacentral:rRNA from 1 species
AACGGAAACAGGACGCUGUGAUCUCUUCGGAGUGAACUUGUCGCUGUCGAGUGGCGGACGGGUGAGUAAUGCUUGGGAAUCUACCCAGUAGUGGGGGACAACAGUCGGAAACGACUGCUAAUACCGCAUACGUCCUACGGGAGAAAGCGGGGGAUCUUCGGACCUCGCGCUAUUGGAUGAGCCCAAGUUGGAUUAGCUUGUUGGUGGGGUAACGGCCUACCAAGGCGACGAUCCAUAGCUGGUCUGAGAGGACGAUCAGCCACACUGGGACUGAGACACGGCCCAGACUCCUACGGGAGGCAGCAGUGGGGAAUAUUGGACAAUGGGGGCAACCCUGAUCCAGCAAUGCCGCGUGUGUGAAGAAGGCCUGCGGGUUGUAAAGCACUUUCAGUAGAGAAGAAAAGCCUGAGGUUAAUAGCCUCGAGUCUUGACGUUACCUACAGAAGAAGGACCGGCUAACUCCGUGCCAGCAGCCGCGGUAAUACGGAGGGUCCAAGCGUUAAUCGGAAUUACUGGGCGUAAAGCGCGCGUAGGCGGCUUAGUCAGUCGGAUGUGAAAGCCCCGGGCUUAACCUGGGNAAUUGCAUUCGAUACUGUUGAGCUAGAGUAUGGGAGAGGGAAGUGGAAUUUCCGGUGUAGCGGUGAAAUGCGUAGAUAUCGGAAGGAACACCAGUGGCGAAGGCGACU